rnacentral:rRNA from 1 species
GACGAACGCUGGCGGCGUGCUUAACACAUGCAAGUCGAACGGAAAGGCCCUGCUUUUGUGGGGUGCUCGAGUGGCGAACGGGUGAGUAACACGUGAGUAACCUGCCCUUGACUUUGGGAUAACUUCAGGAAACUGGGGCUAAUAUCGGAUAGGAGCUCCUGCUGCAUGGUGGUGGUUGGAAAGUUUCGGCGGUUGGGGAUGGACUCGCGGCUUAUGCGCUUGUUGGUGGGGUAGUGGCUUACCAAGGCUUUGACGGGUAGCCGGCCUGGGAGGGUGAACGGCCACAUGGGGACUGAGAGACGGCCCAGACGCCUACGGGAGGCAGCAGUGGGGAAUAUUGCACAAUGGGCGGAAGCCUGAUGCAGCAACGCCGGGUGCGGGAUGACGGCCUUCGGGUUGUAAACCGCUUUCGCCGGUGACGAAGCGGGAGUGACGGUAAUGGGUAAAGAAGCACCGGCUAACUACGUG